GCUCUCUCGCUCUCUCGCUUUUGCGAUCUACUCUAGAGGGGACAAAAAGGAUCAACGAUGGCGGAGCAGUUGACGGACGACCAGAUCGCGGAGUUCAAGGAGGCCUUCAGCCUCUUCGACAAGGAUGGAGACGGUCAGAUCCACCUACUGCCUCUUUGUCUCUCGAUGAUCCUCGUUUCUUAGCCGUUGACCUCUUGUCUUUCUCGAUCUGGCGAUCGGUGGUUUGGUUAUGAUGGGCCUCUUUCCGAUCCAUGUGGUCCGCGGAGCGCCUAGAUCGUCGGAUGUGUCUCGGGAAAUUAGGGUUUUGUUGCUCCGCUCACUGAUCUGUUUGUCUUGGUCCCGCUGAUGCCGUCCUUUGCCGCUUUUGCUAUGGAUUCGUUUGAUUUUCCAUAGAUCUUAGUGUUUUGUUCUCGAUCUUAAUAUUAUCGUGUACAGUUCGGUCGUCGUGAGAUUGUUCUGAUCUUAAAUUAGAUCACUGUGAUCAUCUUGUUACGCCGCAUCAUUUAGUGAACUUAAAGCUGACAAAUUGGUAAGACCCAUGGCUUGUCGAUAGGCUGCAGAGAAGCAACCUUUAUUGUGACGUAGGGAGCUGAGAGGAUGAUCCUUCUUGACUUCCAUCCUAAAUUAUGUUUUGGCAUGGAGACGAAAUAUCCCUUUUUUGUGUUGACAAAGACAUGGUUCUCUUUUAUUGGAAGAUCAUCAACCUGUCUUCGUCACUUACCCUCUGUUAAGAAAAAGGAUUCAUACACCAAAAACAUUGGUCCAGUGAUGGACCAGAUCCACUUAUCAAAGGCUGAGGGUUCAAAAACUCAUCCGGCAUAUUCUUUUAAAAAAUUGAGGUUCUUCAUCUUAAAUAUUGAUUUGGUGGUGGUGUAUCAAACCCACUUACCAAAGGUUGAAAGGUUAAAAUCUCAUCUGAUGUAUUUUUUAUACCUAAAACAUUGGUCUGAUAGUGGCAUACCAGAUUCACAUACCAAAGGUUGAGGGUUUGAAAUUGUAUCUGAUAUAUUUUUACGCAUAAAAUAUUGGUUGGGUAGUGGUGUUCCAAACUCAUUUACCAAAAGUUGAGGGUUCGAGAUUUCAUUCGAUAUAUUUUUACACCUUGAACAUUGGUCUGAUGGUGGUGUACCUGACCCAUUUACCACAAAUUGAGGGUUCAAAACCUCAAUCCGAUAUAUAUAUUUUUAAUAUGUUUUGGGAGGGUGCCAACUAGGUUUGCUGGCAAAAACUUUGAUAGAUUAUUGCAAAGACCUAAGUUCGAAUCCUGCAUUCGCCACUUAUCCUUUGUGCAAUUAUCCUUAUCAUCGAUGGUCCGUUUUGCCUUUUUAUCAUUGUGAUAUGUUUUUGUUGGUAGUACAUGUGCCUUGGUUUAUAUGUGUUCGAUUAAUUGUCUUCAUUUUUGGGCAUUUAUUUCUUUAAGUGUCCUGAAGUUUCAGUUUAAAUUUUGACUGAUGGGCAUUUGAUGGUUUCUAGUUACACAUUAAAGAAUCAGAAGCUAAAUUUUCUUUUCUCUCUUUAGAAACUGUAUGAUAGAUCUUACUCCAAAUCACACUUGAAUUCAGUUGAUUUUAUGAAUAGCAUAUAUCCAAGAUAGAAAAUUGACAUAUGGUGUCUCUCUUUCACUCGAACCGUGAUUGUAGAAAAUUAGCCCUUUCUUACCAUCCAUAUUUGAGAGGUCAAGGGCAGUGGAAGUAGCCUGAGAACCUAAGGGAACCAAUAUGUUUCUUGAAAAAACUCUUGGUUUUCUAUAGGUUUUGGAGGGAAAAUUAGUCCAUAAAGAAUAAUCAAUUGGAAGAGGAAUGGAUGCAAGUGAUGUGCAUAGGUUGACUUGAACUAAUUAGAACUAUAUUGAAUUUCUUCUAUUUUGUACAGUUCAGUUGGUUCCUAAUUAUGACAGUGGUUUUGGUUCAAACACUAUCAAAUGUUAGAGCCAAAUUUGAAGGUCUGAGAGAGAUUGCAUAAUUGCAGACAAUUUAAAUGUCAACCUUGUUAUUUUUUUUAGAAGAUCAAGAUUGGGUAAUUUGGUUGGCAAGCUGGAACUAUUUCUGGAUUUUGUUUAGAUUUUGGGUAUGACUUUAUUUCCAUGAAAUAAAAUUGAGGUCCUACUGCUUUUUGACCAAUAUCUGAAAAAACAUCUUCAUUAUUCAUUCGUUAUCUAUCUCAAAAUUGUUCCAUGAUAUGAUAUUUUUCUUGUAUUAUCAUGUCUACUGAAUCUAGUUGUGUUCGAAUGGACAUUUGUUUCCUUGGAAAUUGGAAACCUCUGUGUUUGUGAUUCUAUAUUAGUUAUUAGUGAAAGUUUGCUGCUUUUCUGUUGUCUAAAGUGGUCAUUUUAAUAGAACAAUCACAAAUCAGGCAGUGAUUCAUUAAUGUGGAGAAUACUUAAUAGUUUAUUUUAGGUCAGGAAACUGUUUGGUGAAUAGUUUCCAUCCUUUUUGUGAAUUUCUUGAGUUCCAAAAUUUCUUUCCAUUCUGUGAUUGCUAGCCUAUUAUUAUCAAACCCAUCGCUUAAUUCUUGUCAUGCUAAAGUUAUAUUUUUAACAUCUAUUCGGUCGUAAACCCUUAUAACAUAAGUUGGUUUUGGAAGCUGUUUGAUGAAUAGUUUCUUUUCUUUUUGAGAAGUUUUAAGUUCGUCUAAACUUCUAUCAGUCUUCUGACUUCCUGACUUAUGAUUUUCAACUCCAUUGAUUAAUGUUUCAAGGCUAAAAUUGUGUUUAGCAUUUGUUUUUCACUUGUUGGAUACGAUCAAAGAAUUCAUUGUGGUCCUUGAGGCUAGAAUAUGUACUUCUAAUUUCCUUGAAUUCGACUCUGCAAAUAUGGUAUUUCAAAAAUAAUGCCAAGGAACAUCUCAUUAAUGAUGAUAUGGUUUGUUUUUCGUGAAACUUUGACAGGUUGCAUCACGACCAAGGAGCUCGGAACUGUGAUGCGAUCACUGGGACAGAAUCCUACAGAGGCAGAGCUACAGGACAUGAUCAAUGAGGUUGAUGCAGAUGGCAAUGGAACUAUUGAUUUUCCAGAGUUCUUAAAUCUGAUGGCACGCAAGAUGAAGGACACCGACUCAGAGGAGGAACUUAGGGAGGCUUUCCGAGUGUUUGACAAGGAUCAGAAUGGGUUCAUCUCAGCAGCUGAGCUUCGUCAUGUCAUGACCAAUCUCGGAGAGAAGCUGACUGAUGAGGAGGUUGAUGAGAUGAUUCGUGAAGCUGAUGUUGAUGGUGAUGGUCAGAUCAACUAUGACGAGUUUGUCAAAGUCAUGAUGGCCAAGUGAGGAUAAAUGACUUUCAUGUAAAAAAAUCUGGACCUUUCUAUGGCAGAUAAGUAGUGUUAUGUAAUUUUCUGCACGUCCCGCCUCGUCGGACAUAGCUAUUUGGUUAUCUGUAGUUGUGAGAUCCGUCGACAAUUAUUUUCUUCUUGCUUUGUUGACUGUUUUAUC
rnacentral:lncRNA from 1 species